CUGGGGUUUAAAAUGGAACUAUUACUUCUGAAUAUUGGAAGUUUCUCAUUAAGUAAGCCAUACAUGUACUCGAUGACCCAGUACUUUUCAGUUCUAGGUAUUUUAUGCAAGAUACACAAAUGUAUGUCAAAAAAACUUGUAUGAGAAUAUUUAGAACAGCUUUAUUCAUAAUUAUUUCAAAUUGCAAACCACCUAAAUGAUCAUUGUCAUGGUCCGUGCAUUUGGGUUAGAAAAAGAAUUUUCCUGAUUCAUAGCAGGGUGAAAAGAAAGAUGAGUUUACUGAGAUAAGAAAUGCUGCUAGCAUAGUGGGAUGACUUCCUGAUGAUCAGAGAGAGCUGAAUCUGAGCGUGUGAUCAUGUCUGUUUUAUAGUCUAGGGGGAGGAAAGGUCUUAGUGUACACUUGCUGAUAGGCUGAUUGGUUAGGGAAAGAGGGUCUUACGAUACACUUGCUGGUUUGUUGGGGGCAUAUAAGGUCCUUAUAGAGGUGGGGGAAGAGUGGGCCUUUCAUAGUAGGGGUCAGGAAGGACUAGGACAGUUGCUCAAGUUGGGAGGGGGCACUACAAUGAGAUGGAUGGGGCAAUGAUAAGGAUCUAGUAAUUCUUUUUGGGGGGUCUAGUAAAUCUUUAAUUUUUUUUUUAACUUUUUUUACUUUUUAGGGCUGCACCCACUGCAUAUGGAAGUUCUCAGGGUGAAAUCAGAGCUGCAGCUGCCAGCCCACACCACAGUAACAGCAACUCAGGAUCUGAGCCAUGUCUGCAACAUACACCACAGCUCACAGCAAUGCUGGAUCCUUAACCCACUGAGCAAGGCCAGGGAUCAAACCUGCAUCCUCUGGAGUUCCCAUUGUGGCACUGCAGAAAUGAAUCUGACUAGGAACCAUAAAGUCCCACAACCAUCAACAGACUAAUUGGAUGCCCAUAACCAAAACAAAACAAAACAAAGCAAAAACCCAGCACAACCAGAUCAUCUGAGAAAUCCAUCCAUCACUGCAACCAGAAGAGAGUGGAUCGGACCUUAUCAGUGCCUACAAGAGUCAAGGUAGUCACAGUGGUAACAAUGGCAGUAGAGGCAGCUGGUGGACGAUCCAGCAGAGGUGACUGAAAAUGAAAUUCUCUCUGGCUGC
rnacentral:lncRNA from 1 species